rnacentral:lncRNA from 1 species
GUCUUGCUCUGUCACCAGGCUAGAGUGCAAUGGUGCAAUCUUGGCUCACUGCAACCUCCAGCUACCAGGUUCAAGCGAUCCUCCUGCCUCAGUCUCCUGCGUAGCUGGGACUACAGGCUUCCCUCUUCCCAGAGCAAGACAGAACUGUUUCUACUGAAUCAUCACAUGGUUUGAGAUUCAUCCCCAAAGCAAAGCAAUCCCUGGUGACUUGGGAGGAGAGGUGCAGGGAUGAGGAGCUAGUUCCAGAAACUGGAAUUCACAGAGAAAAGUAAGCAGCGGAGACAGCAAUAUGUCAAAUGGAAACAGGAAGGGAGACAGGCCCUUGCCUCUGAUCACCCCUCAAUGAUUCAGGCUAAGUCCAGAGGCUG